rnacentral:lncRNA from 1 species
CGCCGAACGCGUACACCCCGCCCGUGCCCUUGUUCUUUUCCAUCGCAGCCGCCGUGGACAUGAUGCCCGCGAGCGAAUACGUCGGCGUGGAAAACGCGGACGUCGGCGCGAUAAACGCGUACAUGCAAAACGCGAUGUGAGCGAGGUAGACGACAAAGAACCAGAGGUAGUUCAUGGCGCUGUCGUUCUUGGCCGCGCUGUACAGGCGUUUGUACCAGAGGUAGAAGGCGCCGGGAACGCCGGUGAGCAUGUAGACCAGCGCCAUGAGCCACGCGCUAAAGCCGCUCUCCAUGCCGGUGAACAUCGCGGCGGUG